GACAGAGGGUGCAACCGUUGUUCGGAAUUACUGGGCGUAAAGCGCGUGUAGGCUGUCCCGCAAGUCGGGUGUGAAAGCCCUGGGCUCAACCCAGGAAGUGCACUCGAAACUGCGGGACUCGAGUCCUGGAGAGGAAGGCGGAAUUCUCGGUGUAGAGGUGAAAUUCGUAGAUAUCGAGAGGAACACCGGUGGCGAAGGCGGCCUUCUGGACAGUGACUGACGCUGAGACGCGAAAGCGUGGGGAGCAAACAGG
rnacentral:rRNA from 1 species